rnacentral:lncRNA from 1 species
AUAGACCUAAAUUCAGUGACCAUUGGAACAAUUAACUCACCAAAUACCUGAUUCUCCUCCACCGCUACUUCCCCCUCCUCCACCCCAAACCCAUUUAGCAACAACCAAUCGCCCCUUUCCCUAAUACCACCAUCACAUGGUGGCAUCAGAGGCGCAGCGUUGCCUUUCACAACUGCAACACUGCGCCUCUGCACACGGAGGCACAACUCUAAAGCUGCGCGAGGUAGCUCCACAAGCUGAGUUGAGGUGGCGCUGUACCUCUACAGGUUUUUCGAUGAAAAAGGACACCGUAGAUGUUAGGACUAGGUUCAACCUGGCGAAUUGCCUUCGUUCACAACAAAUGACUGUCGCCACUUCACGCUCCUGUAUUGUAUAUGAGAUCCGAAAGUCAAAAUUGGGUCCAUAAUCUCAAAUAUGAACAAUAUUUUGUCCAAAGUCGAUGCUCAGAUUUGUGUGUGUCGUUCAGUUCGUGUCGUUGCAGACAGUUCAUCGUCUGAAGUGAAACGGUCGGUAGUUGUGGGUUGUUAGGGUUGUGUCUGUGUCAAUGUUGUUGGCCGUGGGGCUGUGUUGGUGACGAUAACAUUGUUACACUGUGUUCGUGGUGGUUGCAAGUGGUCGUUGUGGUAGCAUUGGUAGUGGUGGCACGAGCAACUAUUUGGUUAAUCUGUAAUCAACUAUUUGGUUAUUAGUGACCAAUUAUUUAAUUGCAACUUGAGAAUUCGAUAAUUUGUGAGUGAAAAAUAAUUUGUGAC